UAUAAGACUGGUUUAUUUUUCCAAUGACAAUGGUACAGACAACAUGGAAGCAUAGGGAGGAAGGAAGGAGAAAGAGAGGGGUUCCGAAGUUAUGGACACCACCAGGGAGGGAGGGAGCAAGGAGAGGUUCUGAUGUUAUGGACACCCCCCCAGGGAGGGAGGGAGCAAGGAGGGGUUCUGAAGUUAUGGACACCACAAGGGAGGGAGCAAGGAGGGGUUCUGAAGUUAUGGACACCACAAGGGAGGGAGCAAGGAGGGGUUCUGAAGUUAUGGACACCACACGGGAGGGAGGGAGCAAGGAGAGGUUCUGAUGUUAUGGACACCCCCCCAGGGAGGGAGGGAGCAAGGAGGGGUUCUGAAGUUAUGUACACCCCCAGGGAGGGAGGGAGCAAGGAGGGGUUCUGAUGUUAUGGACACCCCCCCAGGGAGGGAGGGAGCAAGGAGGGGUUCUGAAGUUAUGUACACCCCCAGGGAGGGAGGGAGCAAGGAGGGGUUCUGAUGUUAUGGACACCCCCCCAGGGAGGGAGGGAGCAAGGAGGGGUUCUGGAGUUAUGUACACCCCCAGGGAGGGAGGGAGCAAGGAGGGGUUCUGAUGUUAUGGACACCACAAGGGAGGGAGGGAGCAAGGAGGGGUUCUGAAGUUAUGUACACCCCCAGGGAGGGAGGGAGCAAGGAGGGGUUCUGAAGUUAUGGACACCACAAGGGAGGGAGGGAGCAAGGAGAGGUUCUGGACACCCCCAGGGAGGGAGGGAGCAAGGAGGGGUUCUGAAGUUAUGGACACCACAAGGGAGGGAGCAAGGAGGGGUUCUGAAGUUAUGGACACCACAAGGGAGGGAGGGAGCAAGGAGAGGUUCUGAUGUUAUGUACACCCCCAGGGAGGGAGGGAGCAAGGAGGGGUUCUGAAGUUAUGGACACCACAAGGGAGGGAGGGAGCAAGGAGAGGUUCUGAUGUUAUGGACACCCCCAGGGAGGGAGGGAGCAAGGAGGGGUUCUGAAGUUAUGGACACCACAAGGGAGGGAGCAAGGAGGGGUUCUGAAGUUAUGGACACCACAAGGGAGGGAGCAAGGAGGGGUUCUGAAGUUAUGGACACCACACGGGAGGGAGGGAGCAAGGAGGGGUUCUGAUGUUAUGGA